CUGAUCUGAAGGAGGAGAGAGAGAUGAUGGGAGAUGAAGGGUAUGGGAGUGUAUGCUACGGCUACCUGCUGUCAAAGUUCUCGAGCCUCCCAAAUGUCCACAUAGAUAGUAUCAACCCUCAAUGCAAAUUAUAAGAAUGUUAUCUUAAAAUGUAAUAAAAAGUGACCAAGCUGAUCUAAACCCC
rnacentral:lncRNA from 1 species